rnacentral:tRNA from 1 species
AGCCGGAAUAGCUCAGUUGGUAGAGCAGAGA